CGUAAACUCAUUAAACAGAAACGAGUAUUCAAAUCAAAUUAUAAGCUUCUUAGACAGUGAAGCAAUAUUGCUUUGAUGAAAUAAUAUGAAACUUCAAGUACAUGCUCACAACCUUGGGGCUGGAAGAGCAGCAUGUGGGGUGUCCCAUUCAGUGACAAUGUGGUUUCUAGUAAUCUCCUUCAGUGAGCGACAGCCACUCAAUGCCAUAGUUAGCUCAAACUCAUCGCGCAACAUUUGCAGCACUUUUUUCACUCCAGCUUCUCCUUCAG
rnacentral:misc_RNA from 1 species